UCCCAUCCGGCCCGGGCACUCCACUUUCUGCCCGCUCCGGAUCAAAAAAAGGAGGAAAAAUACCCGCCCGGCUCGCGGUGCGGCAGUGUGGAGACCUGCCGUAAAGCGGCGCGGCCCAGAGCGGCCGGCCGUGAGGGACCAGCAUGCGGAUGCACUGGUCCCGGAGCCUCAAUGCUAUGGCA
ncrna:unclassified sequences malK-I RNA